rnacentral:rRNA from 1 species
ACGGAAGGCAGCAGUGGGGAAUAUUGGGCAAUGGGCGAAAGCCUGACCCAGCAACGCCGCGUGAAGGAUGAAGGUCUUCGGAUUGUAAACUUCUUUGAUUGGGGAAGAAUAAAUGACCUACCCAAAGAACAAGCCACGGCUAACUACGUGCCAGCAGCCGCGGUAAUACGUAGGUGGCAAGCGUUAUCCGGAUUUACUGGGUGUAAAGGGCGUGUAGGCGGCUCUGCAAGUCAGAAGUGAAAUUCCUGGGCUCAACCCGGGCGCUGCUUCUGAAACUGCAGAACUUGAGUACUGGAGGGGAAAGCGGAAUUCCUAGUGUAGCGGUGAAAUGCGUAGAUAUUAGGAAGAACACCAGUGGCGAAGGCGGUUAGCUGGACAAUAACUGACGCUGAGGCGCGAAAGCGUGGGUAGCAAACAGGAUUAGAUACCCUGGUA